rnacentral:rRNA from 1 species
CCUACGGGAGGCAGCAGUGAGGAAUAUUGGUCAAUGGGCGGAAGCCUGAACCAGCCAAGUAGCGUGCAGGAUGACGGCCCUACGGGUUGUAAACUGCUUUUAUACGGGAAUAACGCGCCUUACGUGUAGGGCUUUGCAUGUACCUUAUGAAUAAGCAUCGGCUAAUUCCGUGCCAGCAGCCGCGGUAAUACGGAAGGUCCGGGCGUUAUCCGGAUUUAUUGGGUUUAAAGGGAGCGUAGGCCGCAUGCUAAGUGAGCUGUGAAAUGGUCGGGCUCAACCCGGGCCUUGCAGCGCGAACUGGCGUGCUUGAGUCCGCGGAGGGCAGGCGGAAUUCGUGGUGUAGCGGUGAAAUGCUUAGAUAUGACGAAGAACCCCGAUUGCGAAGGCAGCUUGCUGCAGCGGAACUGACGCUGAUGCUCGAAAGCGCGGGUAUCGAACAGGAUUAGAUACCCGGGUAGUC